rnacentral:ncRNA from 1 species
GCCGGUAGAGGCGCGUCUUUCAUCAGUAGCCGGAAAGAGACUGCCAGAGUCGUUGAAAAGCCGUGUGAAAGGGACAGACGCCGAAGGGGACGCCUGGCGGCCGUUCCCUGGGCGCAUCGCCGAAAGGCAUGCGACUGUCAUCAUUGAACUGUGAUGGAGAGCUAUGG